CUAGGAUCUACUCUUCACAUUGGUUUGGUUUAGUAACAAGAAUCGUAGUAAUGUUCUGCAAACUAAGGCUUGGUUUGGUAACAAGAAUCAUAAUUUGUAGGAAAGUUGAGUUAAAGAAGACUAGUGGAAAAGGUUGAAUUGAGGUAAAGGAAAUGAGGAAGUUUACCAAAAUCAAGUUCCGAAUCAUCGGACUUUGCAGGUAAGUGAACUCUGUGAACGAAGACAUUAUUGCAACACAAGUUCUUCAGUAGCAUCCACAGGUAACUGAUGGACAGAGCACAUGGGAGGGGAUGGAUGAUCUACUGAUCGAA
rnacentral:lncRNA from 1 species